GGGUGAGUAACGCGUGGGUAACCUGCCUACAGUACAGGGGGGAUAACAGUUAGAAAUGACUGCUACACGCAUAUAUAGCGAAACCGCAUGAUUUUUGCUAUCAAAUAUUUAUAGGUAUGAGAUGGGCCCGCGUCUGAUUUAGCUAGUUGGUGGGGUAAAAGCCUACCAAGGCGACGAUCAGUAGCCGGCUUGAGAGAGUGACCGGCCACAUUGGGACUGAGACACGGCCCAAACUCCUACGGGAGGCAGCAGUGGGGAAUAUUGGACAAUGGGGGAAACCCUGAUCCAGCGAACCGCCGCGUGAGUGAAGAAGUAUUUCGGUAUGUAAAGCUCUAUCAGCAGGGAAGAUAAUGACAGUACCUGACUAAGAAGCCCCGGCUAACUACGUGCCAGCCGCUGC
rnacentral:rRNA from 1 species